rnacentral:lncRNA from 1 species
GAGAUGGUACUAUAGUACCUACCCAUUGUCAUCCCUACUUAGUUGGAAUAAAAACAAUAAUGUUAUACUUUAUGAUAUAUCUUACACAAUCCUGAUUUGUGCUACUAUCACAUUAAUUUUUUUAAGAUUAAUAUGUUGAUAAUUCCUUAUAUCUAUGAUUUGUGUUAUCGUCUUCAUAUUUACGAAGAAUGUGAAACGAGUUCCUCUUGGUCUCAAUCAGGCUUAGAAGAGAAGUCUUUAUGUCCACUUUACUCAUCAAUUCUGACUUUUCU